rnacentral:rRNA from 1 species
AUUGCCCUAGUAACGGCGAGUGAAGCGGCAACAGCUCAAAUUUGAAAUCUGGCUUUCGGGCCCGAGUUGUAAUUUGUAGAGGAUGACUUUGAUGCGGUGCCUUCCGAGUUCCCUGGAACGGGACGCCAUAGAGGGUGAGAGCCCCGUCUGGUUGGAUGCCAAAUCUCUGUAAGUCUCCUUCGACGAGUCGAGUAGUUUGGGAAUGCUGCUCUAAAUGGGAGGUAUAUGUCUUCUAAAGCUAAAUACCGGCCAGAGACCGAUAGCGCACAAGUAGAGUGAUCGAAAGAUGAAAAGCACUUUGAAAAGAGAGUUAAAAAGUACGUGAAAUUGUUGAAAGGGAAGCGUUUAUGACCAGACUUGGGCUUGGUUAAUCAUCUGGGGUUCUCCCCAGUGCACUUUUCCAGUCCAGGCCAGCAUCAGUUUUCGCCGGGGGAUAAAGACUUCGGGAAUGUGGCUCCUCUCGGGGAGUGUUAUAGCCCGUUGUGUAAUACCCUGGCGGGGACUGAGGUUCGCGCUUCUGCAAGGAUGCUGGCGUAAUGGUCAUCAACGACCCGUCUUGAAACACGGACCAAGGAGUCGUCUUCGUAUGCGAGUGUUCGGGUGUAAAACCCCUACGCGUAAUGAAAGUGAACGCAGGUGAGAGCUUCGGCGCAUCAUCGACCGAUCCUGAUGUUCUCGGAUGGAUUUGAGUAAGAGCAUACGGGGCCGGACCCGAAAGAAGGUGAACUAUGCCUGUGUAGGGUGAAGCCAGAGGAAACUCUGGUGGAGGCUCGCAGCGGUUCUGACGUGCAAAUCGAUCGUCAAACAUGGGCAUGGGGGCGAAAGACUAAU